rnacentral:rRNA from 1 species
CACGUAGGGCGCAAGCGUUGUCCGGAAUUAUUGGGCGUAAAGAGCUCGUAGGUGGUUUGUUACGUCUGCUGUGAAAUCCUAGGGCUUAACCCUGGGCUUGCAGUGGAUACGGGCAGACUAGAGGUAGGUAGGGGAGAAUGGAAUUCCUGGUGUAGCGGUGAAAUGCGCAGAUAUCAGGAGGAACACCGGUGGCGAGGGCGGUUCUCUGGGCCUUACCUGACGCUGAGGAGCGAAAGCAUGGGGAGCAAACAGG